rnacentral:lncRNA from 1 species
UUUUUUUUUUUUUUUACUGAGCAUACUUUGAAUUCUGAAGUCAUAAAAUUAAUUAAGGUUUUAGUUCUGGUCAGGAUGGAGGGAGCACAUUUGACCCUACCUCUCCCUCUGAAUGCAAGUAAAAAUCCUGAACAGAAUGCAUGCAGCAGUUGAUUGCCUGAUUUUUUAAAAAAAUUAACAUUCUCCAUGGAAUUUAAAGACUCAGAGUGAACAACAGCUAUAACUUUCCCUCUAAAAUCUAUUGUAGCUGCGUUACAUGCAUUUUGACAGGUGUUGACAUUCAGUUCGAAGUAUCUCUUAAAUUUCCUUUAGUAUUUUUAGCAGUUUGUUGAUGAUAUGGCUAGUGUGGACUUCUUUGAGUUUAUCUUAUUUCGGAUUUACUCGGUUUCUUAAAUCUGUAAGUUUAUGUCUUUUGUCACCUUUGGAGAGUUCUCAGUGAUGAUUCCUUCAAAUGUUUUUUUUCUGUCCCACACUCUUUUUCCUCUCCUGGGACUGUGAAGAUGUGAAUAUUAUAUCUCUUCAUGUUGUCACAGAGUCCCUUGAGCAGUCUUUAUGCUCUCUGUUGUUCAAAUUGGAUAAUUUAUCUUUUUUGAUUUUUCAAAAGUUUUUUGAAACGUAGCUAUGCUUACAACGUUGUGAUAAUUUCUGCUGUACAACAAAGGGAUUCAGUUACACAUACACACACAUCCAUUCUUUUUCAGAUUCUCUGCCCACAUAGAUGCUCACAGAAUGUGGGCUGGAGUUCUCUGUGCUGUACAGCAGGUCCCCAUUGGCCAGUCACUCCGUAGACCUCAGUGUGUAUCUUCCCGUCCCAAACCCCUAAUCCAUCCGUACCCCUAACCUGUCUUUGUUAGUAACCAUAAGUCUGUGAAUCUGUUUCCAUUUGUAAAUAAGCGUGUUUGUAUCAUUUUUUAAGAUUCCACAUACAGGUGCUCUCAUGUUAUAUUUGUCUCUCUGUCUGACUUACUUCACUUAGUACGAUAAUCUCUAGGUCUAUCCAUGUUGCUGCAAAUGGCAUUCUUUCUUUCUCUUUAUGGCUGGGUAAUAUUCCAUUGUACCGUAUCUUUAUCUAGUUCUCUGCUGAUGGACAGGCAGGUUGCUUCCAUGGCUUGGCUGUUGUAAAUAGUGCUGCCGUGAAAAUUGGGGUGCACGUAUCUUCAGGUUUUUUUUCUUUAGUUUUUUCUGGGGUGGGGCUGCGUCUGUGGCUUAUGGAAGUUCCUGGCUAGGGGUUGAAUCAGAGCUGCAGCUGCUGGCCUACACCACAGCCACAGCCACAUGGGAUCUGAGCUGCAUCCAAGCCUACACCACAGCUCAAGGCAAAGCCAGAUCCUUCACCCACUAAGCGACUAGUAUCCUCAUGGAUACUAGUCGGGUUUGUUACCGCUGAGCCACAGUGGGAUCGUCCAGAUUUUGUUCUUUGGAUAUGUGCCCAGGCAUGACUUGCUGGAGCACGCGGUAGUUAUCCUUUGUUUUUUCGAGGGACCUCCAUGCUGUUUUCCAUAGUAUUUGUACCAAUUUACGUUCCCAUCAACAGCGUAGGAGGGUUCCCUUUUCUCUAUAUAUACUCUCCAGCAUUUGUUAUUUGUAGACUUUUUUUUUUUUGAGCAGAGAAAAGUUUAUUGCAAGGCCAUGCAAGGAGAUGGCUGGCUUGUGUCCCACCCCUGCCCCCAUAUCCCAAAUUCCCUGAACCAGAAUUGCAAAGCACUUGAAAGGCAAGGUGAGGGAGGAGCGUGCUUGGUUGUUGCAAACUCCCUGGUGUAGAAAUCCUUUGUUCUUGCAGCUGUCCACAGAGGUCAGGUCCUGCUGUUCCUAUAAAUGUAGUUCAGCAGUAGGACUUAAAAGUUAUCAGAAACUGGAGUUCCCAUUGUGGCUCAGUGGUUAACAAAACCAACUAGGAACCAUGAGGUUGCAGGUUCGGUCCCUGACCUCACUCAGUGGGUUCAGGAUCCAGCGUUGGCGUGAGCUGUGGUGUAGGUUGCAGAUGUGGCUUGGAUCCCACAUUGCUGUGGCUCUGGUGUAGGCUGGCGGCUGUAGCUCUGAUUAGACCCCUAGCCUGGGAACCUCCAUGCCGUGGGUGCAGCCCUAAGAAGACCAAAAAAAACAAAAAAACAAAAAAACAAAAAA